rnacentral:rRNA from 1 species
GUCCACGCUGUAAACGUUGCGAACUAGGUGUCGGGGUAUUCACACCUCCGGUGCCGAAGCUAACGUCUUAAGUUCGCCGCCUGGGAAGUACGGCCGCAAGGCUAAAACUCAAAGGAAUUGACGGGGCCCGCACAAGCGGUGGAGCAUGUGGUUCAAUUCGAUGCAACGCGAAGAACCUUACCUGGACUUGACAUCCCGAGAAUCCCUCAGAAAUGAGGGAGUGUCCGUAAGGAAACUCGGAGACAGGUGCUGCAUGGCUGUCGU